rnacentral:tRNA from 1 species
GAAGCGCUACCCGAUUGGCGACGGGACCGGUCUUGAAAACCGUGCGAGCCGCAAGGCCUUGGGAGUUCGACUCUACCCCGCUUCC